GUGGUCGUAGCUCAGUUGGUAGAGCCCCGGAUUGUGAUUCCGGUUGUCGCGGGUUCAAAUCCCGUCGAUCACCCCA
rnacentral:tRNA from 1 species